GCCUUUUCGAUGUGUUCGCGGUCAUUUCCCGUCGAACCGGCGGCGCGACUCCUCCGCCUCCGCGAGCCGGCG
rnacentral:tRNA from 1 species